rnacentral:rRNA from 1 species
GCCGCCCGCGACACUGCGAGAAGUCCAUUGAACCUUAUCAUUUAGAGGAAGGAGAAGUCGUAACAAGGUUUCCGUAGGUGAACCUGCGGAAGGAUCAUUGUCGAGACCGGAACCAUACCGAGCGAUUCGGAGAACCCGUGAACUGAACGGCGGCGGCGGCCGCCACGAAACGGCCGUCCCCGCCGUCGCCCCCUCUUACCGGGGGGCCGCGGCGGAGGGCGGCCGAAACCCCAAACCGGCGCAGAUUGGCGCCAAGGUAACUGUUGAAAAACCCGCGGGCCCGUCAUCGGGUCUUCGCGGGGUGGAGCGGUGCUGAGCGCCGCGCGUAUUGACACGACUCUCGACAAUGGAUAUCUCGGCUCUCGCAUCGAUGAAGAGCGCAGCGAAAUGCGAUACGUGGUGCGAAUUGCAGAAUCCCGCGAACCAUCGAGUCUUUGAACGCAAGUUGCGCCCGAGGCCAAUCGGUCGAGGGCACGUCCGCCUGGGCGUCAAGCGUUGCGNCCGCUCCGUGCCGAGUCCCCAUCCCGCCGCAGUGCGGGUGCCGGGGCGAGGCUCGGAUGUGCAGGGUGGCCCGUCGUGCCGGUCGGCGCGGCGGGCUGAAGAGCGGGUUGCCGUCUCAUUGGCCGCGAGCAACGAGGGGUGGAAGAAGGCUGACGCCGGCUGGUCCUGCGUUGUCUCGUGCCGGCCCGAGAGAGGACGACGGCCCUUCGUGCGAUCCCAUCCCAUGCGACGCCCCCGUGCGGCUGCUUGGAAUGCGACCCCAGGAUGGGCGAGACCACCCGCCGAGUUUAAGCAUAUCAAUAAGCGGAGGA